UGUGGGCUUAGGGUUGGAAUUGAAAAUAAAAUUAAAAUGGGAGGGCCUAUAAUUAGGGCCUUUCUCAACAACCGUACGUUUAUCCCUGCUUAUCGGCCUCGCUCCGUAAGUGACACAGUAUACCGUUUUUUACUUCCAAUAUCAAAAUUAAUUAAUAUUAAUAUUAUUUGUUAAGAGAAAUAAUUUCUCAUUUUUUGGCCAUUUUGUUUUUUUUUUUUUAAUUUUAUUUUAUAUUUUUUUUUUCUGGGGAAAGUAAAGAAAGAUCCAUAUAUUUUCAUUUUCAUUUUUCAAUUUUCAAUUUUCAUUUUUCAUUGUCAAAACCCCUAAAAAUGCACCAUAACCUUCAACAAUUUCUCUAACCCAAUCACGCUUUCUAUCUUUCUCUCUCUCUAUAUUAGUUUUCUUUCUCUGAAAAAAACAUAAACCUAAAGAUUGAUCUUGAGUAAAGGGUUCCUCUAUUUUGGGUUUGGGCUUAUUUUCAUUUCUUAUGCCCACAUUUGCUACUUGAUAAUCUUCUUCUUUCUCCGCCACCACGCCUGUAGGUGCCCCAUUACCCGAUUUGCCCACACCUCCCAACUAUUCGGAUUUUCCCGUCGCCGCCGCCCCCUAGGGUUUGGAUAUUCUCAUCUUUCUUUUGCCACUAUCGGUUCCUCUUAUCUUCUUUGUUUCCUAGGGUUUUAUACCUCUAUAGAUUGGGGAUUUGAUUUUUUUUUUCUUCCCCUUCUUCUUACUUUCUUAGCUUUUUAGCUACUGGGACGAACCGCUUUUCUUGGGAUUUUACAAGAUUGACAAAAGGAAUAUAUACACAAAAUCUUAUCUUGGUCCGGUCGAUUAAUACACAAGGUUUCCAUUUUUAGUGGGAAAGUAUUACAUUGAAGAAGAAAUUUAGAUUAGAAAAUAUACUGUGGAAAGUUCUCCAAUUUGAACGAGAAUAAACCAUUUGUGGCUAUUGCAAAUUUGGGUUUUGCUUUUGAGGGAAGUAGAUAUUGCUCUUGAGUAUAGUGGUGCGGCUUCGCAUUUUGAGAGUGUAGUCUGUUUGUUGUACAAGGAAGUGUUGCCUACGUUGUUGGUGAAGGGAAGUUUUGGCUUGCAUGGGAGAACAUGAGGCGUGGUCGCAGCCACCAAGUGGGCUAUUGCCAAAUGGCUUGUUGCCCAAUGAAGCAGCUUCGGUGAUGCGAGUACUCGAUUCGGAACGAUGGUUGAAGGCUGAGGAGAAGACAGAUGAGCUUAUUGCUUGCAUUCAGCCUAAUCCGCCUUCAGAACAGCGACGGCAUGCUGUGGCUGAUUAUGUUCAGCGGCUCAUCACGAAAUGUUUUCCGUGUCAGGUAUUUACUUUUGGGUCUGUACCGCUGAAGACAUAUUUGCCUGAUGGAGAUAUUGAUUUGACAGCGUUUAGUAAGAAUCAAAAUUUGAAGGAGUCUUGGGCCCAGCAGGUUCGGGAUCUGCUGGAAGUUGAGGAGAAAAAUGAGAAUGCUGAAUUUCACGUGAAGGAGGUUCAAUACAUUCAGGCAGAAGUGAAGAUAAUUAAAUGCCUGGUGGAAAAUAUUGUGGUAGACAUAUCUUUUGAACAACUCGGGGGAUUGUGCACCCUUUGUUUCCUUGAGGAGGUUGAUCAUUUAAUAAACCAAAAACAUUUAUUCAAGCGUAGCAUUAUAUUGAUUAAAGCCUGGUGCUAUUAUGAGAGUCGUAUACUUGGUGCUCAUCAUGGACUUAUCUCAACUUAUGCUUUGGAAACCUUGGUUCUUUAUAUAUUUCAUGUUUUUAACAAUUCUUUUGCUGGACCACUUGAGGUUCUCUACCGUUUUCUAGAGUUUUUUAGCAAGUUUGACUGGGACAAUUAUUGUGUUAGCCUUUGGGGUCCUGUGCCCAUUAGUUCUCUCCCAGAUGUAACAGCUGAACCUCCUCGAAAAGAUGGUGGAGAUUUACUACUAAGCAAGUUAUUUCUCGAUGCUUGUAGCUCAGUGUAUGCUGUCUUUCCUGGUGGACCAGAAAAUCAAGGACAGCCUUUUGUUUCCAAACAUUUCAAUGUUAUUGAUCCUUUGCGUGUAAAUAACAACCUGGGACGUAGUGUCAGUAAAGGUAACUUCUUUAGAAUACGUAGUGCAUUUGCUUUUGGAGCUAAAAGGCUAGCUAGAUUACUUGAUUGCCCAAAAGAGGAUCUAUUUUUCGAAGUAAAUCAGUUUUUUAUGAACACUUGGGAAAGACAUGGCAGUGGCCAUCGCCCUGAUGCACCAAGGAAUGAUUUGAGAUUAUCAAAUCACGACCAGUUACAUGGAUCUGAAAAUAUUAGAAGCAGCACAGUGAGCAAAAAGAAUGGGAUGUCAUCUAAUGAAUCUGAAGAUGAUGGGACUCAUGGUUCAUAUAACAUUCCGUCCCAGCAAGACAAUGCUUCGAGAAUUAGUAAUGUGUCUACAGUACCUCAUAUGCAAAGCCAAAGGAAUUAUGGGAACUCAAGGAACUCUGAUCCUAUUAAGAAAGAUAAUAGUUUUAACCAGGCUGCACAAAUGGAUAAAGGCCAGAGAAGUUUGAAAUCUGAUAACUUGGUGAAUGAUAUACAGGGUAGGAUUCUUUUUGCAAGGACACGUUCUAGUCCUGAACUUUCUGAUGCAUAUGGUGAAAUCUCUUCUCAAGGUAGGCGUGGCAGAGCCCCAGAAAGUGGGAAGAGCCAAACUUUAUCAACUAGGUUGGAUAAUACUAGGAGGAAGAACCUAGAAUCUGAUACAGUUGCAAAUCAUGGUGUCAGACUGACUGAUGAUCCUUCAGCAGUCAGACACAUCUCUUCCCGUCAUAGUACUGAUGCCGCUGCUGAUUCAAAAAGUGGUUCAAACAGCUACCAGGAUGAGUCAGCCUUGGGGGCGAUGACUGAUGAUUUUGCUUCUGUUUCGGGGGCCCAUGGGAUGCAUCAAGAGGAGCAAGAUCUUGUGAACAUGAUGGCGUCUUCAGUGGCUCAUGGUUUCAAUGGACAGGUUCAUGUUCCAGUGAAUUUAGCUCCUCAUCACAUUCCAUUUCCAAUUCCUCCUAACGUCCUAGCUUCAAUGGGGUAUACUCAGAGAAAUAUGGCUGGGAUGGUUCCUACAAAUUUUCCAUGGGGCUCACAUAUGCAAUUUUCACAAGGUGUUCCACCACAUAUGGCCCAUUAUUUUUCCGGCAUGGGACUGGCUGCCUCAAGUCCAGAUGAUCCCCCAGAACCUGCUAUUGAAAAUUUUGGUUCUGUGGAAUCGAAUCUAGGGGAGAAUGAUCAUGAUUUUUGGCAUGAGCAGGACAGGGUGGCCUCUUCUGGAGGAUUUGAUUUAGAUAAUGGGGGUUUUGAGGUACUUCACUCUGAUGAUAAGCAACAAGCAUCCUCAUCUGGGUAUAACUUCCAUCCUUCUCGUGUUGGCAGCUCUGGAGGUUCUUUGCGAGUCCAACCGAAGAAUACUAAAGAAAACCAUGGUCCAGGAAGAGAAGAUGUUGUGGAUGAUUUUCAGUAUCAUGAUAACCGUAAUGAAGUUUUCUUUGAUGAUAGAACUACAAGUUCAAGGUCUGUGUCUGCCUCGCAUACUGGUUCUUUGAGAAGUAAAACUUCUUCAGAAAGUUCUUGGGAAGGAUCAUCAGCAAAAGUCUCAAAGUCAACUAGGGAAAGACGAGGUAGGAAAAAUGCUCCUUUUUCAGUGCCAUCUUCUACUCAUGGGAAGGAUAAGACUGUAUCUGAACAUUCGUCUACUCAGGCAGAUGAUGACAACAGAGAUUGGAAUUCAUUGUCACCUGUAGCCACAGAAAUAGCAGAGAGAAACCCAGUACCUCAGUCUGCUGCUUCUUGGCAAGUUCCAAGGCAUCAAAUUCCUGGUACCGAACCAGCUCAGACAAGUGGAUCUGAUUUAAUACCCUUUGCUCCAAUGCUUUUAAAUCCUAAUGCACGACAGAGAGCUAUGGAUAAUUCUGGGGCUCUUCCCUUUACAUUUUAUGCUACAGGACCACCUGUUCCAUUUGUUACGAUGCUUCCAUUGUAUAAUUUUCCAACUGAUACAGGGGCUUCAGAUGCAUCAACGAGCCAGUUUGGUGCAGAUGAAGUGGCAGAAAACAGUGAUUCUGGUCAGAAUUUUGACUCAUCUGAGGGACUCAAUCAACAUGUUGUGUCAAAUACUUCAAAUUCUAUGAAAAGGGAUACUUCUCUUGAGCCUUUGGAACAGAAACGCGACAUUCUCAAUAGUGACUUUGCUAGCCAUUGGCAAAAUUUGCAAUAUGGACGGUUUUGCCAAAAUUCUCGGUAUUCAGCUCCUAUGAUAUCACCUGUUAUGGUGCCUCCUGUUUACUUACAGGGACGAGCACCAUGGGAAGGUCCUGGAAGACCACUAACUGCGAACAUGAAUCUCUUUACCCAGCUUAUGAGCGGUGGGCCUCGUUUUGUUCCUGUUGCACCUCUCCAAACCAUGUCUAAUAGACCUACUGGUGUUUAUCAACGAUAUGUUGAGGAAAUGCCAAGAUAUCGCAGUGGGACUGGGACAUACCUGCCAAAUCCUAAGGUUUCGGUAAGGGAUCGCCAUUCUUCUGGUACAAGAAGGGGGAAUUACAGUUAUGAUAGAAAUGACCACCAUGGUGAUAGAGAGGGGAACUGGAAUGUCCAAAAAACGCGACCUUCUGGGCGUACCCACAGUAGGGGCCAGGCUGAAAAACCAAAUGCAAGAUUGGAUCGUUUGACAACAAGUGACAGCCGAAGUGAAAGGCCAUGGGGCUCACAUAGGCAUGACUCCUUCCCUGCGUACCAAUCUCAAAAUGGUCCUAUUCGCCCAAAUACUACACAGGCUUCCCCUAACAAUGUGCCUUAUAGCAUGUAUCCAUUGCCAGGGAUGAACCCAAGCGGCGCAACAAAUGGGCCGAACAUGCCUGUGGUUAUGGUGUAUUCUUAUGACCACAAUUCUGGCUACGGAACACCCGCAGAGCAGGUUGAGUUUGGCUCUCUUGGACCUAUGGGUUAUCCAAAUGAAGUAUCACAAAUAAAUGAGGGAAGUCGAGUGACUGGUACAUUCGAGGAACAAAGAUUUCAUGGUAACUCUGCUCAACAGUCUUCACCUGAUCAUCCUUCUUCACCUCACAAACAGAGAAAUAGUAGCUGCUGAUGGCCGGCCAAACAUUUUACAUUUUUUUCCAAAAGCAAUUCUGGUUGUGGUGAUUUCUCUCCAUCUCUUCAGAAAGGGUCCACUUGCCAAAUCAUGUCACAUUUGUCUGGCUUGGGAGUUUGAUUGCGUUGCCAAAGCAGUUGCUUUGAAGUAAUAGUUGAAAGAUGUGGAUCUUCCACCUCUGGUAGUUCCGGACCAAAGACGAAUGAUGGUGGGAGACGAAACUCAUCGAGAAUUUUCCCUACCACCAGAUGAUGGUGAUGGUGUUCUCGUGCUCACCCCACUCUGAAAAGAAUAAUUUUGAAAAAUCUGAUUUGGUGAAUUUUGUGCUUUUCUCGUGGGAAGCCAAUUGACUUGUACACUACUAGCAAUUAGUUAUCAAUAUUGCCCAGCAUGCAUGAAGUGUUGCUGUGAAUGCAGACAUUAAUCUGAAGAUAAAAAAAAAGUAGUGAGGAAGGGGAAACGGUUCUAGCUCCAUUACUUGUAUUUCAUUUUAGGCUACACAUUGUAACUGACUGUGCUAGAAGCUCACUUUGUCACAGAAUUUAGGUUCUUAUCUAGAUUUUGUUCCGUCAUUUUUCUUUACACACCCAAUUAGGAUUUGUGAUUCAUAAUCAUAACUGUAGUCACAUUAAUAUAGUCAAUUUUCAGCCAAAAAGAGAUUAAAUACAGUCAGAAGUUUUAAAUAUCAGUUCCUUUAUUAUAGUACUUGUCUGGCCGAGGUUGGCUACUUUAUGU